rnacentral:siRNA from 1 species
UGCGCAUUAGCCAUAGUUGUGCCA